GACGAACCGUCCUAACGUUGUUCGGAAUCACUGGGCUUAAAGGGCGCGUAGGCGGGCGAGCAAGUCUAGGGUGAAAUCUUUCGGCUUAACCGGAAAAUAGCCUUGGAUACUGCUGGUCUCGAGGGAGGUAGGGGUCGUUGGAACUUCCGGUGGAGCGGUGAAAUGCGUUGAUAUCGGAAGGAACGCCGGUGGCGAAAGCGAACGACUGGACCUUUUCUGACGCUGAGGCGCGAAAGUCAGGGGAGCAAACGGG
rnacentral:rRNA from 1 species